AAUGGGACCUCACAUUUAUAGACUGUUUAUGUAGUGCUUCAUGAUUUCUAAAACACAUUUCCAUUCCCUUGGUGCCCAUCCGUUCCUGGUUGGACUGACUUUCCAGCACCACCACUCAGCCCCCCUAAAGCCAGAUGAAUACAGGAAGGGCAGUCAGGGCUCUGGACCAGUGUCAGGUUACUACAAGGACUGGCAGAAAACCAUGGUCCUGAUAAGAGGAGGUGACUGUCAUCAAGGAUAAAUAUGAAAACAGCAUUUAGGGGCAGCGUGGGACUUGAAUUCAGAGGACCUGGAUCCAAGAACUGGUUCUUCAUCUUAUUGGCUGUGAGAAUUUGGACAAAUUAUGGUACCUCCCUGAAUCUCAGUUUCUUUACCCAUUAAGUGGAGAUAAUAGUACAUACUUCCCAAGCCUGUGAUGUGAGGUGACUCAAUUGUGAUGGGUGAAGAAGAGCUUUGUGAGCAGGAAAACACUAGGCAAAUAUUCCAUAAUCAGUUCUUUCCUCUUUGUCUUCUACAUUUGUGCCCUCAGAGGCUCAGGCUGUCUCAGGAUGAUGAGCUUUAAGAAGCUGAUGGAAGUUACUUGGCUCUCUGGCUGUCUGUGAGCAGGAAACUUACCUUAACUUGUGUGUUUUCCAGCAGUUAUUCAAGCUGAAAAGUUUCAUAAAAAGGGACAAACUCUGAAUGUUCAACCUUCUAAAAAUCAAAAGGGAUGACUCACAGGUCAUUAGCAUCCCUGGAACACAGUGGCUUCUGUUUUAUUGCUAUUAAGUAGGAUUUAGCUCUAUUUUAUUAAGGCAAUUUCUACAAUCAUAUGAGAGGUUAAUGCAUUUCACACAUAAUCCACUGCCUAGCUCACUAAAUGCUGAACCCAUUAAAGCCAAGCCAUGCAGGGGAGGGUUUCAAGACAGAGUGACAAAUUAUGGGUGGUAUGCAAUGAGUGACUAAAAUGAGUGAGGUUUCUUUUUUUUUUUCUCUUUAAAAUUUGAAAUGUGUUCUCCAGCAGGAAGAUAAGAGGGCUGUCCUAGCAAAAAUACUUAGGAGUUUGUUGCUGCAACUGGCAAGCUCUUGUGGGCAUCGAUGGACUGAUGUCCAGGUGCUGAAUGACUAAGAGAGCAUCUUUUCAACAGUUCCCAGCCCCCUGGCCACUUAGGUCUUCUUUUAUUAUUUCCCUACAUCCUGGGACCUGAAAGACAGUAUUUGCCAGGAAUCCUGCAUGUAUUAAGCAAUAAUGGACUGCCCCGCCCUCUGUACUUCCUGCAUCGAAGACAUAGCUGGUUGGUUGGAGUUUUGAGCAGUAGCAGUCACGGCUAUCCAUUAUAUGGAUAUCUGAAGCCUGGAGAAGGAGACAGGAGCCAGAUCAUGGAAAACUUUGCCAAUUAUUUUUAGAGUAAACAUCUAGAUAAAUACCUAGAUAUUUUGGGUAAAUAUCCAGGGGCGGAAUUGUUGGGUCAAAUGAGGAGCAUAUGUUUAACUUCUCCCAUACUGUUUUCCAAGGUAGUAACAUUUUGCAUUCCUACCAGCAAUGUAUGAUAAUUCCAGGGGCUCUACAUCUUUGAAACCUGAGCCAUUCUGAUGGGUUUCUAGUGGCUUCUCAUGCUGUUGUAAUUUGUGUUUUCCUGAGGACAGGGGAUAUUGGCAUCUACCUGUGUAUUUACUGAGGGCAGGAUUUUAAACAGUGGACUCAUGGGGUCCAGUCUGUGUUUUAGGCUCUUGAACCAAGAUGCCAACUAAGUUCUUGAAUUUGAUUUCUCCUCAUUGUUCCUGCUGAAGUUGUUACAACCAAAGUAACAGGGAAAUUCUACAUAAUUUCUGAAAACCACAAAGAGAUCUUAGCCACUUCUCUGAGACCUCCGAGAGUUUUAGCAAAACAAAACAAGAUAAAAAUGGAAGUGGACAACUCAGGUAGAGGCAGGUACUGGCUGCUUGCUCUGCUAUCCAUUGGUUGGUGGAGGGAAUGAAACAAUUUUACUCUGCCCUGCUCCUUAGUUCUUCUUGGAUCAGAGUGGUACAAAUGGAAAUAAGGGGAAAGUUCUAUGUUAGAAAUUUCUGGUGGCAGAGGAAGGAGUAAGAUUCAGGCCUUUUACGGCCAUCUCUAAGACUGCAAAAAUAAAUAAAUAAACCCUAAACA
rnacentral:lncRNA from 1 species